GUGCUUGCUUCGGCAGCACAUAUACUAAACUUGGAACAAUACGGAAAAGAUUAACAAGGUCCCUGCACAAGGAUGACAUGCAAAUUCAUGAAGCAUUUCAUAUUUAU
rnacentral:snRNA from 1 species